rnacentral:rRNA from 1 species
UACAGAGACUGCAAGCGUUAUUCGGAUUCACUGGGCGUAAAGGGUGCGCAGGCGGCCAAGUGUGUGAGGCGUGAAAGCCCGGGGCUCAACCCCGAGUCGGCCGUGCGAACUGCUGGGCUCGAGCACUGUAGAGGCAGGCGGAAUUCCGGGUGUAGCGGUGGAAUGCGUAGAGAUCCGGAAGAACACCGGUGGCGAAGGCGGCCUGCUGGGCAGUGGCUGACACUGAGGCGCGACAGCGUGGGGAGCAAACAGG